rnacentral:lncRNA from 1 species
AUGAUUAAAGAAGAAUGCAUCUUUUGAGGGGGAGCUUUAGAUAUUCAGUAUCUUAUCCUAAAGUUACUUUAAUUUGAUGCAUACCUUGAAUUUUAUGGAUUGAUUUUGAUGAACCUCCUUAUAUUGCAAGACUUGCUUUAAUUAUAUAAUAAGUUUAUACCUUGAGAUGAGUUCUAUAAAGGUUGUCUUAUCUCAAACCUUGAGUCUUAUGAAAAUAAGCUGAAACUUAUAGAAAAUAUAUUUUCN